AAUGAACGUUGGCGGCGUGGAUUAGGCAUGCAAGUCGAGCGAGAACCCAGCAAUGGGGGACAGCGGCGAAAGGGACAGUAAUGUGUAGAUCAUCUGCCCUCAGGUCCGGGAUAGCUGCGGGAAACUGCAGGUAAUACCGGAUAACAUCUCCGGAUCAAAGGUGUGAUUCCGCCUGAGGAUGAGUCUACAUCCUAUUAGCUUGUUGGUGGGGUAAUGGCCUACCAAGGCGAUGAUGGGUAGCGGGUGUGAGAGCACGACCCGCGUCAUUGGGACUGAGACACUGCCCAGACACCUACGGGUGGCUGCAGUCGAGAAUCUUCGGCAAUGGGCGCAAGCCUGACCGAGCGACGCCGCGUGCGGGAUGAAGGCCUUCGGGUUGUAAACCGCUGUCAGAGGGGAUGAAAUGCAGGUGGGUUCUCCCAUCUGUUUGACAUAGCCUCAGAGGAAGGACGGGCUAAGUUCGUGCCAGCCGCCGCGGUAA
rnacentral:rRNA from 1 species